UACGUAGGUGGCAAGCGUUGUCCGGAUUUAUUGGGUUUAAAGGGUGCGUAGGCGGUCUUUUAAGUCAGUGGUGAAAUACUUCAGCUCAACUGGAGAGGUGCCAUUGAUACUGGGGGACUUGAGUACUGAUGAGGUAGGCGGAAUGGACGGUGUAGCGGUGAAAUGCUUAGAUAUCGUCCAGAACACCGAUAGCGAAGGCAGCUUACUAAGGAGUAACUGACGCUGAGGCACGAAAGUGUGGGGAUCAAACAGG
rnacentral:rRNA from 1 species